CAGGGAGACAAUACCUGAUCGUGAUGUCUGAGUAUUUUAAUCUCAGGCCAUGAUCCUGUCAUCUCGAAGGUCGAUCGGUACCUCAACUUCAAGGUUGAGAUGAAUGAGAUGUUUCGGCAAGUCAUUCAUGCUUGAUUUUUGAUUUUUAGUUCCUAAACGUUGUCUAGGUCACCCCAUAGAGGGUUCACUUCCUGGGCCAUUAGCUCAGGUGGUUAGAGCGCACCCCUGAUAAGGGUGAGGUCCCUGGUUCAAGUCCAGGAUGGCCCAUUCAAACUCAGUUUAAUUUUCAUUGAUGCAUGUCAAUGAAAAGGCGAUGAGUCUUGGGGGUUUAGCUCAGUUGGUAGAGCGCCUGCUUUGCAAGCAGGAUGUCAGCGGUUCGAGUCCGCUAACCUCCACUAACACCUGAACUCCUCAACCAGGAAGCAAUUCUUGAGAGGUGACGUAGACGUUGUUCGCUGAUCAAACGAGCUCGAGCGAUCGAGCAGAGUUCAGCCUCAGAGCAUUCCAAAGGAUGGUUGCCCUGAUGCUGAAUUCAGCGAAGGAGCCUCGCGAGAGGUUUUUUCAAUGAGAUUCAGCAGAACCUUGACAACUGCAUAGGUGAGUCUGGAAAGACAAAGCAUCUCAUAGAGGCGAGUCGAUCAAGUCUGAUGAGCCAUCAUUGAUGGAUCGUUAUCAGGUUUGAGUUGAUUCGUGAUUCUAUUUUUGAGAGCCGAGACCUUCUAGCGUUCUUCCGAUGGCGCCGAGCCGGAGGGAGUCUGAUCCUUAAUUGGUAGCAGCAAUGCUGACAAUUUUGAGAGAAUAGGCCUCAACAGCCUGAAGCGUUAGGAGGAUUAAAUUU
rnacentral:tRNA from 1 species